CUUGAGCCUGCUUCCAGACAGCCCAACUGCAUCCCCUUCCCCCUUCAAAGCCCUCUCAAAGGGCUUUGAGUUUAAAGCCCUCUCAAAAAGUUCCUCCAUUCAUAAGCUAAAAACCUUCUGCCCUUAACAGAGAGCCCAUCCAGUUCCAGCAGGCCAGGUGCCAUAAAAGUUGCCCCAUGAUCAAAGAACCUAAAAUUCUGCUGAUUACACCAACCCUUGAGCCACUUGAUAAGGUGGGCUCUCCUAUUUCUUUCACUGUUUUUUUCUGCCACCAAAGGGACUGAGCAGAACACUACCUGUGCUCCUGCCCUAUCAACCACUUGACACAGUGCCCUAAAGUCCCUUUUAAUUGCCCUGACACUCCUCUUUUCAAUCUCAUUACUGCCAGCCUGGAGUAUCAGCAGUGGAGGUGGUGAUCCGCCUGACAAAUGAAGCAUAAUUGGAAGGCUCAUUAAGACAGAUCCUUUUCUUCUACAUCAUCUGGCUGACCCUCUGGAUCCAGGGCCUCAUACCUAUUCUGAAGUGAUACCUGGGUGUCCUCCUAUUGCCUGAUAGUGGGAGGCAUGGGAAUCCUGUGACUCCUGACGAGCCUCCCUCAAGGAUGGAUCAAAUACAUAACACAGGUGCGGCAGGAACAAAGUGCUCUUGGAGCAGAUGCAGUGACAAAUGCUGCAGAACAAAGGAUGGCAGCAGAUU